rnacentral:rRNA from 1 species
ACGUAGGUGGCAAGCGUUGUCCGGAUUUAUUGGGCGUAAAGCGAGCGCAGGCGGUUUCUUAAGUCUGAUGUGAAAGCCUUCGGCUCAACCGAAGAAGUGCAUCGGAAACUGGGAAACUUGAGUGCAGAAGAGGAAAGUGGAACUCCAUGUGUAGCGGUGAAAUGCGUAGAUAUACAGAGGAACACCAAAGGCGAAGGCAGCUUGCUGGACUUGUACUGACUCUCAGUCACGAAAGCGUGGGGAGCAAACGG